GUAAGUUUACUAUAUUGACAAAAAUAAAUGUGUCUGCGAUCUAGUUUUUGACACCCCAGAGCCCUCAGUAAGUAAAUAUUGAGUUCAAAUAGAAGUUUGAUCUUGCCAGUAUGUUUGUUUCAGGAGCCACAUACUUAAUAGGAUCCUGUUGAGGGAAAUUCUCAUUGUAAUGUUGAGAACUAAGAUAGGGGCUUGAGAGAUGGCUCAGCAGCUAAGAAUUACUAUUUUUAGAGAGUGCAUUAAGCUGUUAACAGCCCCAUAGAGUAUUCAGUUCUAGGGGACAUGACGCCCUCUUCUGGCAUCUGUACUAAGGUGUGAUGUCGUCCUGCCCAUGUAUACAUGGGCUUAAAAAUAAAAUCUUUGCCGAACAUAGCGGCUGUAUGCCUUUAAUGUCAGCACUCAGGAGACAGAAGCAGGGUGGUCUCUUACGAGUUCAAGGCUAGCCUGGUUCACUUAGAGAGUUCAAGGUUCGCCGGUGUUGUAAAAGGGAGACUUUGUCCCGCCUCCCCGAAAAGACUUUCCAUUGGCUUUCACUUAACCAACUCCAGACAGCCUCCCUCACACAGCCUAUCAGAAUGAGGGGGCGGGAGCUUCUGCGCCUCUGACUGACAGUAGCGGCUCCCGGAAAAUGUCGUGGCCUGUCGCAGUCUAAGGGUGUGCGGCUGCCAUGGACAGCGAGCAGCCCGACAGCCUGGAUGGCUGGGUUCCGCUGCGUGAGGACCUCUUCCCGGAGCCCGAGCGCCAUCAGCUGCGUUUCCUGGUGGCCUGGAACGCCGCGAAGGGCCAGUUCGCCGUCACCUGUCACGACCGCACGGCGCAGCGGCGGCGGCGCGAGCGGCGGGAGGCCGGCGACGGGGGAUGUAGCUGGGCCGGGGUGCUGUCGCCCGCCGGGUUCCGCGGCGCGCACCGGCAGCUGGCGGCGCUGUGGCCGGCCCUGGAGCCCUGCUUCCCGCCGCUGCCGCCCGAGCUGGACGCGGCGAGCGGCGCGGGCUGGGGCCUGGGACGCGGGCUGUGGGCCCUCCUGUGGCCGCUCCUGUGGCCGGCGCCUGCGGACCCUGGCGACUCGGCGCUGCAGGAGCUGUGCCGGCAGCUGGAGCACUACCUGGGCCUGGCGGCCGAAGGAUGCGGCGGCGCCACCGUGCGCGACGUGCUCUUCCCGGCCCCGGGUGACUCGGCAGACUGCGAGGGCCUGAGCGAGUUCCGCGAGAGGACGCUGCGCGCUCGCCUGGGCCAAACGGCCACCCGGCUGCACCAGGUUCUUCAAGAUCACGGGAAAGCCAAUACCAUGGUAGCAUUAAUGAAAGUUUAUCAAGAGGAAGAUGAGCUCUAUCAAGAAUUAGUUACCAUGGCAACCACAUUCUUCCAGUAUUUACUGCAGCCAUUUAGAGACAUGCGAGAAGUUGCAACUUCAUGUAAGCUUGGUAUUUUGAAGUCCCUGGAUGAGGAUGAGCUGGGUCCUAGAAGGGUGGCUGCCCUACAGAAGGAAGCCAGUGAAUGGACCAGACAGGCUGAAGAAGCAGUGGGCUCUAUCCAAGACAUCACUGUGAAUUAUUUUAAAGAAACAGUAACAGCACUAACAGGAAUGCAGAAACAAAUGGAGCAGGAUCAGAAGAGAUUUGGCCAGGCUGCCUGGGCCACAGCCAUGCCCAGGCUAGAAAAUCUCAAGCUCAUGUUAGCUCGGGAGACUCUGCAGCUUAUGAGAGCCAAAGAGCUGUGUCUAAAACACAGGCAAGCUGAAAUCCAGAGAAAGGUGGAAGAUCUUCCGCGCCAAGGAAAGCAGUUAGAUGUUGUGGAUGAGCUGGAGAUACAGUGUUAUGAGAUCCAGUUGGAGUUGUAUGAUGUCAAGCUUGAGAUGCUGAGAAAUGAGGAGACAAUCCUUGUCACGCGGUUGGACUCUGUUAAGAGACUUAUAACAGUAAACAUGCCUAAGAAAAUCAUGACUCCUUCUAGAGAAGCAGGCUGAAGUGAUCUACUACGACCCGUGUGAGAGCCCCGAGGAGCUGCAGAGCCUGGCUCCUGACCUGGAACUGCACCUUGGUGACAACAGAGAGCUGAGAGCACUCAGCCAGCAGUGCCAGCGGCUGGAGGCUCAGCGGGGCCGCAUCUGCUCCAGGAGAGCCCUCCUUAGGAACAGAAAGGAUCACUGCCGAGAAAAUCAUCAGCUCAGACUGCAGCAGGCCAAACAAAGUCUGAGACACCUUCACCAGCACCACAGUAUUCAAAUGAAGAGAGACAAAGUAAAAGAGGAAGAACAAAAGAAAAAAGAAUGGAUAGACCAUGAACGCCAGAAAACCCUUGAGCGGCUAAGAGCAUAUAAGGAGAAGUGCCCGGCUCAUCGGUCUGCACUGAAAACAACUUGUUCAGAGUCCAUGGUGUCAAACCUGCCAGGUGGGCGCUCUCAGAAGAGGCUCUCAACGGCUCACCACCACAAGACAGCUCAUCCUGCCUCCAGCAAAACCGGAAGUGCUGUUCCCUUACCUGAAGCCAGUGUGAGACCCCCUGAGCAUCAAGACCCCUGUGGCAGUGUCCCUGUCCAGGCUUUUGUUCCUGUUAGUGACCAGACACUGUCUGGAUCCAGUGAAGAUCUGUCACUACCACCACAGCCACCAGCUCCUCCUCUCCCUCCUCCUCCUCCCCCUCCUCCCCCUCCUCCUCUUCCCCCUGCUCUGUCCUCUUUUCAAGGUACCACUCAUCAGAAUUUAGGGCUCAGGACUUUGGCAACAGAGGACCGGCCACUCCCACUAGCGUGUGACCCAUCUGCUGGGAGACCAUGUGACUACCAGGGUCCAGGCUCUAUGGAUGAAGUGCUGGCCUCUCUCCGGCAGGGCAAAGCCUCUCUCCGGAAAGUAGAAACGCCCACCUUGCCCCAUCCUGGCACCUCAGUCAAUGAACAAGUUCUGGCUGCCAUCAGACAGGGCGUGCAGCUGAAGAAAGUCCACACGGGCCAAGGUGUGGAUCCCGGCAAGAAGAGCACCAGCGACCUGGAGAGGAGCAUCAGAGAAGCCCUGGAGAGAAUCAAGAAAGUUUCUGCCGACUCAGAGGAGGACAAUGAUGAGCCGAGCCCCACUGAGUGGGACCGCUAGGCUUGCUGUCCAGCUGACAGAUGCAGGCAGGCCCACAACCCUAGGUCAGCGAGGCCCUGAGAAGCUGCAACACGGGGAGGUCAGUGAAGGUGUGCCAACUGCCACACAACACUCACUGCGGGGUAGGCUGGACAUGGGGACAGGACUUUGUCCACUCUAGGGUCACUGGCCCUGCAGGGACAGCCCUGAGGUACACAUGAGACAAUAUGCUUCCAUGUAUAAACACUGGCUCCUCAGACUUCAAGGCUUGAAUGUGAACAUGAUUUUAGCAAUAAUCAGAAUAAAUUGUAUAUAUCCCAGAAUUACCUUAAAAAUUUUAUUUUGUGUAUUGAACACAGAAACUCAUACUAAACAAUAUUUAUAGUAUAUCUGUAUUAUGAGGAAAUGGUCUCUGACCCACUGAAAGCAAAGCUCUUCCUGCUUGGGGGUAGUUGAAAAUGUCCCAGGAUUCCAGUUGAGCUCGUGUUAAGGGCACUAACGGCAUCGCUCACCUCAGGAACUGGUCUCCUGAGACCCUCUUCACUCGUGCUAAGUCAGGGAUGGAGAGGGACCGCUACGUAGCAGCCUGGUCACUGCUCACACCGUCCCCACCUCCGUUCCUUUAACUACUCACCCUAGUCCUCAAUCAUGGAUCCCUAUUAAACUAAAUGAACCCACA